rnacentral:lncRNA from 1 species
CCUGGCACAAGAUAAAAAAAAUUAGCAUAUGGGAUCUCAGAUCGGGUCUCGCUCUCAACAUCACUGGUACCAAAAACUUAUAGGACACCAUCAGUAAUAGUUGCACCGAUGGUGGCCGGUGCACUCAAAGGUGAAUUAGGUGGUAGGGCUAUAAUAUUGCUCAACUCAGCAGCACCAAUAGAUCUUGAACUAACAGCUCUCACCGCCACUCUCAUACCCUCUCCUCG